UGCAUGUGCGUGUGGGGCCUGGCUGACCGAUGUGCGUGCCUCACCUCCAUCUGCAGUUGGAGAGAGAUGGACUGGCAAAAUAUCUCCGCCAGCCCUUGGCCGCCUCUAGUUUCCCUUUCCCUCUCUCCAAUCUCCACCGCCGCCGCCGCCCCUGCCUCCUCUCGGUUUCUCAUGCUGCCGCUCCAACGAAGAGCGUGCCGCUGGUGCUUAGAUUCCGGGGACAUCUCAUGGUCUUCAUUGACGGAUGGAGGGGAAGAGCAGCCGCGCCAGGCGGCAUGCCUCGCCGUGCCGCAUGGCAGCCGCUGCCCCAUGCUUUGUUGGCGCCGUCUCAUCGUCUUCAUAGACAUGCGCAUCUCUGUCAGGAUCGCGCGUCCAUGCCUCCCAUCUACCGGGCUGGAGUGGCCGCCUCCUGGUUGAGGCAUCGCGCGGCAUCGAACGUCCUCGGCUGCUGCCGCUGCUGCUGGCCAGGUCCCUCCUCUCGCACCUGCCGAGGUCGCAUCUUCGUCGAGGCAUCAAGACGCCUCAGUUUCCUUUUCUUUUUCCCUAUUUAUGAUCUUGCACUUGUUUCUUCUUUUUGGACCUCUCUGUCCGCUGAAAUUGCAGGCUGAGGUGAGCACCAUGAAGAUGAUGUCAGUGGCUGAUAUAGAGAGCUCCUCGAACAGGGAAGUAGCAGUUCUGGAGGAACUCGAAGAUGUCAUGUUUCAGUUUUGAUGUGAAUCGCUAAAACAACAAUUAGAAGAGACCGUGCAUUGCAGGUUCAGAACCAAUUUAUAUGGGUAUGUACAAGCUGUUUGUUUCUAUCUUGGUUUUAAAUUGGUUUUACAUUGGUGAAUUAGCAUAGCAUACUGAGUGUUGAGCUUUAUUUCAUCUACAUUUGGUUCUGAACAUGUAUGCUUUUAAGAAACUUUGUAUUCUUCUCUAUUUUGAAGAGCCCACAAAGAGACUAAAAGAAUGGUUGUAGGUUCCUUUCUGUGGUUUAUGAACUAUGGGACUAGGCCGAACUAACUUUGUUUAACAAAUAACUUCCUCAUCCCUAAAUAAAUCUGUAUUUGGCUGAUUUCAAGAGAAAUGUUUGAUCAUCAUUUUUAGAUGAUUGACAUAUGGAUCUUAGCGAGAUUCAAGGGAACGCGUGAUGUGACUGUGCCUUGUAUAAGCAAAGUUGAGCUGUUGAGGUAAUUAUUCUGUAGGUGCCUUCUAUAAACAGUUAAACACGCAACACAUCUAUAUGUUCUUUUCAUAUGGUUCCUUAUAUAAGUACAUUUCAGUAAUAUGUGUCGUGUUUUACUUUUGUCCAUGGUGACUAUGGCAUUCUUGGCUUCUGUUAUUAUGGUUGAGUGUAAAAUUGGUUGUUGAACUGAGGAAUAUGCUAAUAAAUCAUUUGUCUCAUUCGUUCUUGUAAAUAGUUUCUACUCCAUGUGGUUAUGAGCUGCUACAUUUUUCCAGUUACAAGUGUCCUUUGCUUAAUGGCUCAGUUUCUUUUGCUCGAGCCACACCUGCAAGCCCGAUGUAAAACUCACCGCGUGCACCGUGUCGUGGCUUAGUCUCUUCGAGUUUCAGCGUUGACAUCAUGUUUCUCUAACUGGCUUGCUUAGCCAUGGACAGUGAGACCACCCUUCAUUGAUUUCUUCAUCUAUAUGUUUAUUCUAGGCAUCAUGUUUUUGUUGGCUGCACAAUUGUUCAAACUCUAUCCUAGCUGUAGGUUUAUUUGAGGGAGAUUGAGUAGGCGUGUUUAUUUUCUAUAUAUAAAAUGGAUUCAACAUCCAACUUUAGUCAAGAACAAACCAUUAUUGUUUUUACGGUUUUAUGAGGUGUUGCAAGAUUGAUUUGAGUUGUUCUCAUUUAUGGUUUUCAGAUUAUUCUAUCCUGAAGUAUUGGUUUAUUACCGAGGAAGCCUUAAACAGAGAAGCUGAAUGCAGUUUUUGUAUCUUUCAUCAAAGUCCUAAAUGGUCCAAUGAAAAUCUUGGUAUGCACAGUUUCAGAGCUUCAUCACAUUAUAGUAGGGAAAAAUGGUAUGCAAAAUGUCAAAAGCUUCAUUUUGGUCCAUUAGAUAGUUUAUAGCUUUGUCACUGGAGCUGUGACAAAAUAAUCGCAGCUUGUGAAAAUUAUAUACAACCAUGAAUGCUCCAUAGUUUUCCAUGCAACACAGCUACUGAAUCCGUAAGACAUGCUUAUUUCUGGCAGAAUCUUAGUGGAUAAAUUAGCAUUGUGUAAGAUCUGCCAUGAUAGUUUUCUCAAUACCAUUUUGCAUUUUGGGAUUGUUUGAGCACUAAAGAAUGUUAACAGGUUUACCAUUUCUCAUCUCUUUGUGAUAUCCGUAGGUAUUCUGGUGUCUCAGUUAGUCCCCAGCCUCUUUCACUGACCCAUAAAUUAUCUGUCUCUAGGUUUCCUCAAUUGUAUUCUGGUUUAGAACAAGAAAACUAUUUUUGCCUCAGCUACUUUGUUGGUGUCGUGUACAUUGUCAUGGAUUUGAUGUCAAGAAGUUCCCGGUGUUUUAUUAUACUUCCAGUCUCAGUAUAUGAUGGCAUGAUAUUAUGAUAUUACCCUAAACCUGCUCUCCCGCUCAUUCAAAUCAGGAUGUCGGCGGACGCGUCUACUGCGUGUCCCCAUCCGUCCGCAACGUCUGCAACUGUAAUCACAGAAUUAGCAGCGUCCCGCGUCCGCCACUUCUGACUGCUCGCUAUGCCCGGCGGGCACAUGCGGACGUCCGCAUCUGCCUUGCAAACUCUGUAUACAUCAAGCAUAAUACAAUCCGUGCUAGAAAAUGACCAAAGAAACAUCUUUAGUUGCAAAUGAGGCCCAACAUCAUGUAGACAUACAUAAGCUGAAUCUCAUGUAAAAGCGUACACACGCUCAACCUCAUGUACAAUAGUAAUUUAAGAGUUAGGGCCACCUGUUAUAAUAGUUUUUUGACCAAUCAGACUCUGGAAUAUCAAGACGAAUUGCUCCCAACAAAUUUGUGUUAUGCUGACUUCCAUAAAAAAAGUCUAUGCUCAGUUGUAUGAGUUAAUCCAGUUUUAGGACUGAACAAUAGAUUAAUACACACAUAUUUCGUUGUGAUUUGUGGCAAUUUUGCGGCAGGUACAAUGCUAAAAAAAUCAUUUCUUGUUCAAUUUUAUGGUCAAGAUCUUAGGUUGAUGAUAACUUGAUAUGUGGUUCUCCUGUAGCAUUAGUUAUAUUUUGGAUUAUCUUGCCCAAAACUAACUACAUGAAAAAUGACUACUUUAUUUUGUACCAUGUUAACUUAGGCCUGAAAUAUGAAAGUUACUUAUCAUACAAGAAGAGGCAAAAUAACAUUUGUACCAUAUUUGGUUCAAGUCUACCAGGUAAAUAAUUUCAAAUGAUCAGAUUGAGUUGUUUUAGAAAUGAAAAAUGGAACUUGUCCUUGUUUAUCUUUCCUUUUUGUGUUAAAAUAAGAAGAAUGAUACACCACACACUGCCCUUUGGUUAUUUUUGCUCCAUGCGUUUUGCAGCAGAUUAUUAUUAGUAGAUAUUUAAGGCUUUUUUAGUCUACCUUAGAUUUUUGACAUGAUUGGUGUUCACAUUUCACCAAAGAUCCUUUUGGAUGCUUUCUUGUAGAUACUCUAGCUCUCAAAAGCAGUCUGUAAGUAUCAAUGUAGAUAAUUUAAUCUUUAUUUCCGAUUGAUUUAAGAUACACACAUAUAUAAUGGCUACCAAUGCUCUGCAUCACCCACAUAAUUGUUGGUUCUAAUUGGCUUCUUGCGCCAUGUUUUCCUCUAGCGGAGAGUGAAAGCCACAACUUGACGAGGACAUUCCCACGGAAAAGCCUUGUAUCAUAAAACUUCCAAUUCAAUGCUAUUGCAUGCUUCUUCGCCUAUGACCGGCAAAGCACAAUGUAUAGGAUGUUUGGACAAAGAGCUACAAGGAGAGCACUCUUCAACGAUGGGAAUAUCCAAUGAAGCUGCAAAUUGUUGGGUGUAUGUAUAUGUGUACCGAAGUUCAGUUGAAUCCGUAAGGAAGAACCAAACAUUUAUUUCUAUCUUAUUAUAUGCUAUCUUAAAUGCAAAAGUGUGAGCUAUGUUAACAACUGUUUCAGUAUGAUGUUUGGAAAUGUUAAUGAUUGCAGUUUUUGCACGCUCAAGUAUAUAUUUGUAAAAAAAUCAUCUCAGUUUUUCACUAGAGGGGUUUUCAUUGAUGCCCUAACUGGUUGCUCAAACCUUAAGUUACUACUCCUUUUGUUCACUUUUAUAAGGCGUUGUUGAUAUUUUAAAAGUGAACGGAGAGAGUAACAAAUACACAUAUUUUCAAUGUUAGUUUUAAAUAGGAUUUUGUGCCGUCUGGCGCAACGAGUCAUAUUUUUAGCACCGCUAGGUCAUUUUGCCAUGUAAUGUUCUUAUACAAAUAUGUUUUUUUUUCAAACUCAGAUUUCUCAAUCUGAUAACCAUAUUUUCAACUAAAAAAAUGUUUCCUUAACUGGUCCAUACAUGUUAUACAAAUUUGAUUUUUUUUCAAACUUAUAUUUCUUAAUGUGAUAAACAUAUUUUCAAUAUAGCAUGAUUUAACACAUGUGCUUUCUACUACCAAUAUUGAAUAUGUUCUUGCAAAAUGGAAUUAUUUUCAUCGACAACAUGGCUUUAGCGGGUCUUUGCGCCAUUUGACGCAACGGGUCAACUAGUAUAUAGAAAAAGCCAGUGUGAUGUGUGUGGCUACAACUAGUCUGACUACACGUCCUCAUGUAAUAUAUCAAGGACACACCAUCUUACCAGAUUAAUCAUUCGACUUAUUGCAGUGUGGGAAAAAAGAAGUAUUGGGACUGCGUAUCCAAGCAAUUGAUGUCAUGGACUCCUUCAUAGAACCUUGUAAGCGAAAAAGAAGUUGCCGUGUGCCUGUACAAAGAGCUAGCGAUCCAACUGAAACUCCGUUGGCACAACAGAUAUGUUUUCAGAAACUUCCUUGUUUACCUGGUUUGUUGACUUGCUGCUGUAAUCAUCUUACCAACUUCAAGUUUUCACGUUCCAAUUGGAAGUCCAAUUGCACAACAGAAACUCCAAUGCCACAACAGGAUCCAAGAGAAACUCCAAUGCCACAACAGGUACCUUUUGGAAAACCUUUUUGUUUAACUGCUUUGCUGCUGCAACAACCGGUUACAAUAAUGUCAAUAACUACUUUUCAGCAUCCAAUUGAAACUCUUUAAUUUCUUGUUUGUUUAAUUGGUUUGCUAUUAUAACUCCGAGUUGAGAGGUUUUGCUAACUUCAACUUUCGAAAUCCAAUCGGAACUUCAAUGGCAAAACAUGUUAGCCCAAGAUCAAAGAGCGAGGUCCCCAUGGACGUUGUAUCAUCCCACAGCAGUGGCACCGGCCCAAUCAUGCAUCAUGAAUUGCCAACUGCUGAUGCUCUAGAGGCUAAACUAGUGGUAGAAAGAGAUUCUGCUUCUGCAUUUAGAGAUGAAGUUGACAUGUUGAGGAAGCAAACAACACAAUCACAAGAAGUACUCAAGACAACCAUUAAAUAUUUGGUGGAUUUCAAAACGAAGCAAGCUGAGACUGACCGCAUUGUUAAGGUCCUGAAGGAAAAAAGGAAAUUAAAUUCCCACUUGGUAAAUCAUAGGUGAAAUGUUCUUUCCAUCGUUGAAUAACCUUUGUGUUGUUUGUUCAUGUAAUCGAUCAAACCAUUUGUUUUAGAGAUCAUG